UAACGUCCAGCGCGCUUAGGUGCAUUUUUCGAAGUGUUAAACGGGAAGCUGGUGAAUAAGCCAGCGCUGCCCCCGCAACGGUCAGUAAGUUCAGGCUGCUCUAAACCACUGUGUUUUGCAAGCAUGGGAAGGUUGCAGCUUCCGACUUUGGUCACUUACAAGCCCGGAUACCGGCCUAGCUUAUGUUGUGACA
rnacentral:ncRNA from 1 species